rnacentral:misc_RNA from 1 species
UACAGAGGGUGCAAACGUUGCUCGGAAUCACUGGGCGUAAAGCGCGUGUAGGCUGGCAAGCAAGUCGGGUGUGAAAUCCCUGGGCUCAACCCAGGAACUGCAUUCGAAACUGCUCGCCUUGAGUACUGGAGAGGGAAGCGGAAUUCCUGGUGUAGAGGUGAAAUUCGUAGAUAUCAGGAGGAACACCGGUGGCGAAGGCGGCUUCCUGGACAGUAACUGACGCUGAGACGCGAAAGCGUGGGGAGCAAACAGG